UACGUAGGGGGCAAGCGUUGUCCGGAAUCAUUGGGCGUAAAGCGCGUGUAGGCGGUCCGGUAAGUCCGCUGUGAAAGUCCAGGGCUCAACCCUGGGAUGCCGGUGGAUACUGUCGGGCUAGAGUACGGAAGAGGCGAGUGGAAUUCCCGGUGUAGCGGUGAAAUGCGCAGAUAUCGGGAGGAACACCAAUUGCGAAGGCAGCUCGCUGGGACGUUACUGACGCUGAGACGCGAAAGCGUGGGGAGCAAACAGGG
rnacentral:rRNA from 1 species